rnacentral:rRNA from 1 species
AGUGAACGCUGGCGGCAGGCCUAACACAUGCAAGUCGAGCGGCAGCGCGUCCGACCACCCUCGGGUGGUCGGAUGGCGGCGAGCGGCGGACGGGUGAGGAAUGCAUCGGAAUCUGCCUCGUUGUGGGGGAUAACGUAGGGAAACUUACGCUAAUACCGCAUACGACCUACGGGUGAAAGUGGGGGACCUUCGGGCCUCACGCGAUGAGAUGAGCCGAUGCCGGAUUAGCUAGUUGGCGGGGUAAAGGCCCACCAAGGCGACGAUCCGUAGCUGGUCUGAGAGGAUGAUCAGCCACACUGGAACUGAGACACGGUCCAGACUCCUACGGGAGGCAGCAGUGGGGAAUAUUGGACAAUGGGGGCAACCCUGAUCCAGCCAUGCCGCGUGUGUGAAGAAGGCCUUCGGUUGUAAGACACUUUAGUUGGGUAAGGAAACCGGACCGGGUUAAGUAACCC